rnacentral:lncRNA from 1 species
AUGCCAUCUCCACUUCUGCAGGGUGCCUGUGGCUCAUCAACACAACAGUUUUUCCAACGAAUCCAAUAUAAACCUGAAGAGGAACAUAUUAUUGGACACUUAAACCAUUUGAAGUGGUCACCAAGGAAGCAUUGCUCAGGUAGAACGGCACUGGACAGACGGAAGUCUCCCCAGUCCUCUGGAAGGUUGACAGCACAAGGUCACAUGACCUGGAAGAGAAAACCCAGGAGACUUUUGGGAUCCCUUUUUGAAUGGGCCGGUUAUCAACCUGGAAACAAGUCUAAAGGCUGA